GAUUCUGGGGUGGGGCGGCAGCGGGAGCGCGCCCGCUUUUCCUAGGCCAGCGGGCGGUUGUCUGUGGCUCCGCGACUGGGCGCCCCGUCACGUAGGUUACACACACAAUCACUCCCCAGGGACGGCCCGGAGUCCGUCCAGGCAGCUGCGCCCUCCCCAGACCCGGGCACCGCGGAGGCUGGAGCCGCAAUGGUGCUGAUGGAGGGCGGGAGAUGGAGCUGACCAGGGGCCGGAGGGGCUGAGAAGAGCCUGCCCAAGUCUGGGCCAAGCACGAAGCCCUUUCCCACCCGUCGGGCUCCUGGGUUCCCGCCAGCCGAUUUCCAGCCGUCAGGGUCACGCCACUCGCUGGAAACCCUGAACUCUGUGCCCCCCAAGCCCUGGGCCCCCUGCGGGAAUGUUCAAAAAUGAGUACCAGGGAGGUGCAUUUGUUGAAAUUUUCAGUGCUCAAGGAAAAAAUCCUGGAGCAAAAUGGAAGAUCCUUGGUAGUCCAUCUGUGAUUUGGAAAGAGUUUGAUAAAGAAGUUAAAAGUUUUGUGUUUGUCCUGGAAGGCAGCAGCCAAACAAACAAAAUUCAGUUACCAAAGGAGAAUAAGCAAAGCCUUGGAUUGAUCCAGAGGUUUCUUGUACUUCAGAUUUACGUACCCCUGGGACAAGACUUCUCCACUGAAUUGCUAAUUACUGAUUUAGGGAACAUCAAAAGAAGAUUAUAUUUAUCAACGGUCCAUAAGGAACUAUCCUCCACCCCUCUUCAUGCAAAAAUUCCACUCUUCAUGAUCAAACGUAAAAUUUGGUGCAAUCUAUGCAUUGACUUAGUAGCAUUCACCAGUGAAAUAUUCAAGGGGGCAGUUUUCCAGUCAUUGGAUGGAAUUGUUGUCUCAGCUAACUGUAAGCUACGGAAGAUCUUCACCUUAAAAUCAAAGCCACAAGACACUGCUGAUAAGGAUGCUGUCUAUGGUGUUCCCUUUUCAACAGAUGAGCCUACAGAUAUUAUACCACGAAGCUGUCAACUAAUGACAGAUGUUCCACAUGUCACACAGCUGCUAAACAUGACUAAACUUCGCCAAACUGAAAUAAAAUUCGGAGGCCAUCCUCUAAGAUCAGCAGAAUCAGAUCAGUUCAUUAACAGAGGAACAAGUAUUACACGGAACAGUAAAAAUCAAGAUGUUUGUCAUAUCGCAUUUGGAUCCAAAGUUCUUGGGCCACCUCCACUCUCUGGCAGAAGGAAUAACAUGAAGAUAUCCAGCGAGACAGUGAGAUCCGUUGGGUCCAAAAAUAACCGAUCAUGCCAGCCGUCCACUGUAGAGAAGUGUGUUAAUGGUACAGAAAUGUCAGCCUUGCUGAUACCUGAGUCUGAGGAACAAGGAAAUAAAGAAAAUAUUCACCAAAUAAAGCAGACUGUACCUAUUCAUGCAGCCAAUCUACAUAUUAUGCAUCCGCAUCCCCCUCAAGAACCAUCAGCAGAUAAGAAUAAUAACAGAAGAAGAUUACGGUUAAAAAGUACCAGCAGAGAAAGGACAGAGACACCCAGCGGUAGCUCUUCAGGAAAUAAUAGGAUUGAAGAUAAAGCAUCAACUAUCCUCACCACUGUGUCCCAACAAGGAGCAGAGCUGUUGAACUCCGGCACUCUAGGACCCCAGUCUCCUGAUCAAUCAGAUGAGUGGAUUUUUCCUGAAAAUGCUGAUCACAUUUCAUAUCUGGCAUCCAGCAGACAGUCUCUACUUCUGGGUGAUGACUCCUGCAACCCAUCACACCUGUGGCUGGAAGCCAGCAAAGAGAGUGAACACGACCAGCAGGCAGAGGAAUCCCAGAGUGUUCCAAAGGACAUUUUCACUUUUUCAUCAAGACCACGAUCAGCACCUCAUGGAAAGACUCAGACUAUGUCCCCAGAGGAGCUCUCAUUUAUUUUGGAUCUAAAAGAGGAUAACAGUGUGACAAGCAGAGACACCCAAUCAGAGGAUGAUUUUUACGGCGGCGACAGCAGUGAAGAGGGUAACCACAGUAUCCAGGGUUCUCGAGGCCCAACAACUGGUCCUUCAGAGUUAACUCAGUUAACAUUAGAGAGCCUGCUGGGGAAGGCUGCAAAGCGGACAAGUAAGGAAUAUCUAAGGAGCGCCUACACAGAAGCAGGAGCAACAGAAAGCCAGGAUUCCUCGAUGGAGCAAAUAGAUAGAAAUAACUUUGAAAUGAGUUUGUUGCCUACAACAUGCCUUUCUCCAACUGGAAGAAGGUGUGGGUCCUGUCAGAAAACUCCAGAGCCCGUAAUCAAAGCGAAGGAUCUAUCAGCCCAGCAAGUGCCAGCUUCACUAAACAAAACCUCCCUGAAAGAAAUCUCAGGGGAAAGGCUGAGCUCGAUCCCCGAAGCAUCUGAAUAUGACUGGCGAAACUAUCAGCCAAGCCAGAUGAGUGAAUCCGAGUUACAGAUGCUAGCAAGCCUACGGUGGCAACAAAAUGAAGAACUGGAGGAUGCUGGGACCUCCCAUGGCCUGAGUGCCUCCCAGGUGGACAACUGUAAUGUCAGCAUAAGUACCAGCAGUGACGACACAACCACCUGGAACUCCUGCCUGCCACCCCCUGUCAACCAGGGUCGCCACUAUCAGAAAGAAAUGAACCCACCUUCUCCUUCUAAUCCCCGGGACUGGUUAAAUAUGUUGAGCCCACCAAUCGUUCCUCCCAGUCAACAGCCGGCUGAGCAGCGUCCAGAUUCCUGUGAAAGUUUGAGUGUUCAAGGAUGAUUUAAUCCCAGAAAGCUGGAGAGCUUGGAGACAUCCAAGAUGCUGACAAAUGGACCACCGAAGAAAAAGCACUUAGCACAUGCACAUGCUCACCAAAAUGCAAUACCAUGCUAUGGUCGCUCAUUCUGUCCACAAAGAUUGCAGCUUUCUAUGCACUCUAACUGCAUUCUGCCACCUGCACCCUGUGGCCCACUUGAAAUGAAGUUUGACUACAUGACCUGCUUCUUUAGCCAAUAAAAUGUGAGCAGAAGUGAUGCACUUCCAGGUGACAGAUUUAAGAACUGGCAUACUUUGCCACUUGAUUUUUUUCCACUCUACAUAGCAACUGUAAUGUUCAAGAUGCUGGCUUCUCCAUCAGCCUGCAUCCCAGAACGGGGAAAACAAAGUGGCCCUGGGAAAAAGAUGAAAACACAACUUUUCUAUCAAGCCCAAUAGAUUGAAGUCAAGAGAGAGCAACGCACGUCUUGAAAAGAACUGAGUGGGCUGGGCGCGGUGGCUCACGCUUGUAAUCUCAGCACUUUGGGAGGCCGAGGCGGGUGGAUCACCUGAGGUCCGGAGUUUGAGACCAGCCUGACCAACAUGGUGAAACCCCGUCUCUACUGAAAAAAUACAAAAAUUAGCUUGGCAUGGUGGCGUGCGCCUGUAGUCGCAGCUACUCGGGAGGCUGAGGCAGGAGAAUGGCGUGAACCCAGGAGGCGGAGCUUCCAGUGAGCCGAGAUUGCGCCACUGCACUCCAGCCUGGGCAACACAGCGAAACUCCGUCUCAAAAAAAAAGAAAAGAAAAGAACUGAGUGUAACUGUGGGCACAUGAAGCUGAUCAGAAUUAAAUAGAUAAGAAGCCAAUUAAGUUUUUGAGAGAGUUGUAUAGCCAGAGAAAUCAGGAGCCUGAACUAGAAAUAUUUACAACUGUUCAAAAUUUAAAGCUACCCUGGGCCCUCCCCCUUUCCCCAGGCAGGAGGCAGGCUGAGAAAGCUGUUCUGCCCCCAAGGAGGACAUAUUCUUCAAUGCUCACUUUAGAUGUGGGCAAGGAAAGGUAAAGGAAAAUUUGCAGAAGAAAGAACCAAAUGGACUGAGGAGCAACAGAAUGAGAACACUGUAGGAUAGCACUUCCUGGCCCCCUAUGGGAGGUGGAGCCAAGUCAUCUCUUCUAAUGGUGUGAGUGGAAGUGAUGGGUCCUUCUCAUCUUUUCUGAUGGUGUGAGUGGAAGUGAUGGGUCAUUCUCAUCUGUUCUGAUGGUGUGAGUGGAAGGGAUGGGUCGCUCUCAUCUCUUCUGAUGGCGUGAGUGGAAGGGAUGGGUCGCUCUCAUCUCUUCUGAUGGCGCGAGUGGAAGUAAUGGGUCAUUCUUGUCUCUUCUGAUGGUGUGAGUGGAAGUGAUGGGUCCUUCUCAUCUCUUCUGAUGGCGUGAGUGGAAGUGAUGGGUCAUUCUUGUCUCUUCUGAUGGUGUCAGUGGAAGUAUUGGGUUGUUCUCAUCUCUUCUGAUGGUGUGAAGGGAAGUGAUGGGUCCUUCUCAUCUCUUCUGAUGGUGUGAGUGCAAGUGAUGGGUCCUUCUCAUCUCUUCUGAUGGUGUGAGUGGAAGUAAUAGGUCAUUCUCAUCUCUUCUGAUGGUGUGAGUGGAAGGGAUGGGUCACUUUCAUUUAUUCUGAUGGUGUGAGUGGAAGAGAUGGGUCACUUUCAUCUAUUCUGAUGGUGUGAGUGGAAGGGAUGGGUUGCUUUCCUGCUGAGUGUGUUUCUUACUUUCCAGUGAGAGGUCCUGCAGAACACUUUAUUCCUUCUGGCUUAAAGACUUUAUCAUUCUGCCAGACUGGAUCCUUGAGAGCCUAUGAUAAGUAGAGUGCCCCUGCCAGCCCAUGACAGCAUGCUGUGUGGACAAGAAACAAACUUUCAUUGUAUUCAGCUUAGAUUUGAGGGUCGUAUGCUUCUGCAUUACCUACUUAUCACUGAUACACCAUUGGAGCAAAAAAUCCCAUCUAUGAAGAAACUCCAAUGAUUUACCCUAUAUAGUUCUUUCUCUGAAUAUGUCGUAUGCCUUACCUAGUGAAUCCUGGGGCUAAAAUGGUAUUGAAAUGGUCAGAUCCAAUCCUGAGCCCCUAGUCUUAUGAACUAGGCCUCCUCUAACAGGCAGUGCUAAGCUUCCAUCAUUCCCAGACAGUGGCCCAAGAUGAAAGAAGACUUCUCUUUCCCAGCUUAGCUUGAAUCACAAAGCAAUCCAUUUGUUUUGGCCAAGGGGAUGUGCUACUCUUUUAACUCAGGGUCGCAGGCUUUAGGGUGCACGCGAUGGAAAAGAACUCACUUGUAACUGUUGCACCUUGAGUUCUUCUUGUUCCAAAAAGCUCCAGAAAGAAGCUCAGCCCCAAAAAAAUAAAAACCAGAUGGAUCCAGAGAUGCCUGAGUUGGAGAUGAACUUUGGUGAACUCUCCUCAUUACCAUACUAAAAAUCCAGUCCAGAGAGGAGUUUAUUUGCCAUUUUCUACACAUGCAAUGUAUGAAGAAGCACGAUGGGUGACUGCACCUGUGUGUGUUGCCUUUACUCCACCUCCACACACAAUGACUCAGCCAACCAGCUCAAAAAAAGCCCUGUUUCACCUUUGUUUGUGGAGGCACUGCUUUGGGGAACUGUCGUGGGUGUCCUUACUUCUUGCAAGUAAUAAAAUCCCCUUGCUAAAUCCUCCUUGAUUGUGGUCAUGCGACUGACACCUGUCAGGUGAUUGAACCACCCGUCGUGUUGGUUACAGUCAGACUGUUACUGACCCAGUGACUAGUCACUGUGAUAGCGAGGAGGUGGGACAUGAUCCAUUGCCAGCAGAAGCAGGGGGAAAGGGUGCUGGGAAAAACCAAACCAUAGCCACAACAACCGGCAACCCAGAAACAGUCCAAAGAGCUCCACUUCAGAUCACUCCUUACCUUCUUUACUUCCCAAGGACACCAGGAUAGUAUGGGCUGUGGCCAGAGCUCUCCACUGAUGACAGCUCACAGAAGCUGAGAGGAAGUUAAUGACUCUCAAAACAGCUAAGGAACUUUCACUGAUCUGCCUUCCUUGCACAUAAAGGACAUGGUAGAAAGAAAAGUCUGUCUUUGUGUCUGAUAAAAAUAUAGAUAACUUUGUUUCAAACUUGAAGUGAUAAUUCUUGAAGGCAAUUAUUGGGACUUCGAAGAAUACUGCUACAUACCAAGCUAUUAUUGCCAUAAUUGUCAUUAAUAUCAACAUAACCCAAAUGUUUACUGGUUCGGUGGUCCCCUCCAAAGUAAUAAUAGCAGAACCUCUGCUCCCCUACCUCCAUCAAAGUGUUGCUCAGCUCUUUCUGGGACUCCCCUGGCAAUGCUCCACUAAUCUGUUUGUUGGCUGCUUCCUGGGGCUGACUUCCAGAUCCCAACUGCUGCUGUGUUGGGGACCAGCCUCAACACCACCCACCCGUAGGGUACCCGAAGUCCGGUGGCGACAAAGGAUUGAGAAGAGACAGGUUAAGAGUUCAUAAAGGUGGGAGCCAGGGGGCCAGUUGCAAAAUGGAGGCUGCAAAAGGCGCCGAGCUCUGGUCUCCAUGCUAUAUAUUCAGUACAAUCACUUAGAUCUAAGAAGCAGAUGUUCCGGGCGAAACAGUGAAAGGGUGGCAGUGCGUCAUAGGCGUAAUCUGUAGCAAGAGUGAUUUAAACGAAUCUCCUUUGUGCUCAAACAGCAUAUCUUUAACUUAUCGGAGAGUAGCUAGUGGGAGCGGGCUUAAAUAGGAGCCCACACGUCUGUCCACAUUCCAGUGCUUCAAAGGAGUGCCUUUCUCCUUGAACACAGUGUUUACAGAUAAGAGAGAGGGUCUCGCUCUAAGCAUGGGAACAUGAGGGCUAUUAGGAGGCUUUCCUCCUCAGAGACCUCUUGUGGCUUUCCACAACUUAUUGUCCCAUAUUUUUAUGGCCAGUUUAUACAGGCACCCCACAAGCCCUUUUCCCAACACUGCUGCUCCCAAGAUUUUAGUCACCUUGCACGUCUCUUCCCCAUGGUGAUUUUCCAGUUUGCCUUCACCACCUUUGUGGUGUUAGAGGCCUCCCAUCCUCCAGCCAGCCCCAGCAGGGAAAAGGAAGAACCUGCUUGACCCCCACAAACCAACUUGAGAAUUCCCCAGGCCCCUCCACAGCAUGGAGCACCCUCCUUUCAAAGGGAUUAAACCUCAGCAUCCUGGAAUGAAGGAUUUGUAUCUAUGUUACUUCCCCAAGAACAGAGACCAGCGAAUGAAUGUUUGUCCUCUAUCCACGUGAGACAGGCUAGAACAACAAAAAAUGUGCGCCUAAGGCACCUACCUCUUCUGUCAGAAUUCACGGGCAUAUAUUUAACCAUGGUUGUCCUUUCCCAUAAAAAAACAUUUUUUAUUAAACCCUAUGCCACUCACUCAGUCACCUUAAAUAUAAUGAAAACAGUGGUCAUUGAAUAUGCCACAUGCCAGGCAUUACUUGCAUUAUUUAAUCCUCUUACUAGCCCUAAGGGGAAGGUUACUACUUACACCCCACCUGACAAAGGCAAAAACUUGGUACCAGAAAGAGAAUGGGAUCUGCCAAAGGUCAUCAAGCUAAUGAGGAGCAGAGACCUGCCUGUCACCACAAUCUGCUCCUAACCACCACUCACAUUCAUCCAGAAGCAAAGAGAAUCAUAUAAUAAAUUGCUGCUUAUUGAUGCUCCCCACCUUCGUUUCCAAUGAAGGUACAAGAAUCCUUCUUGUUUUCAAACUCAGAAAAGUUCCCAAGAAAGGAAGAAAAUGUUCUUGUAAAGAGAGAAUAUAAAUACCAUCUUAUGUGUUCUUUCAUCUUACUGUUGCGCAACUAGUAAAAUUGUUGAAAGUGAAGUGGUAUUUACAUUACAUGACUUAAGCUUUUCCAUUAAAAAGUAUAAUAUUGGA